UYGACGAGUMGAGUUGUUUGGGAAUGCAGCUCUAAAUGGGUGGUAAAUUUCAUCUAAAGCURAAUAUUGGCCGGAGACCGAUAGCGCACAAGUAGAGUGAUCGAAAGAUGAAAAGCACUUUGAAAAGAGAGUUAAACAGCACGUGAAAUUGUUGAAAGGGAAGMGCUUGCGACCAGACUCGCCCGCGGGGGUUCAGCCGGUACUCGUACCGGUGUACUCCCCCGGGGGCGGGCCAGYGUCGGUUUGGGCGGUCGGUCAAAGGCCUCCGGAAUGUGUCGCCCCCCGGGGCGUCUUAUAGCCGGAGGUGCAAUGCGGCCAGCYUGGACCGAGGAACGCGCUUCGGUUUGACGCYKSGAAUGUUYGGGGGUUC
rnacentral:rRNA from 1 species